UUCUAGGGAGAAAAUGGCUGCUGAGACUAAGAUUAGGGACCAGGUCUUUCCACAGUGCAGGAUUAAAACAUAUCUGACCUGUAGACACAGAGACCAUCUACACAGACAGGCAUGUCCUGCAAAUUUACCUUUUAGAAUCUUAGUUUGGAGGCUCACUGGAGUCUUCUGUGACUGUUUUUAUUUAUUUCCUUCUCUGCUCUGCUGGUGUCAUCCUACAGGAUUAAUAUGUGAUCCUGAAAAUGACAGUUUUAACCUUGCUGGGAAAAUUAAAAAAAAAAAAAAAAGCAUGUGACUGUGUGACCGGCAUGCAAGGAGGUGUGAAUACUUGUCUGUGGUUUGCACUCCAAAUCGGGGUUGUUGCUGCUAGCUACUCUGUAACUUUGCCUCAAACAUUUCCAUGAAGAGAACCUUCCUCAUUGCCACAAACCAAGCCUUUCAAUCUGCUGUGGUUUGGCCUGGAAGCCCACAUCUGUGCCAUGCUGUGAAGGAACCAGUGAUCCCUUUCGCUCUUGACAUGGGCAAAUAAAGGCAGAUUACCUCCAAGGCACAGACAGGCUUUUACCUUCCCAUGGCAAGGAUGGCCACCAGAAUUUCCACACCAGCAUUUGUUUUCCAACAGUUAUAGUGAAAAUACCUCAAGAUAACUCCUAGUUUUGGAUUGUCUCAUGACAACAACUCAUUUUGGAAGCAGUCGCUUUGCCACCAAUCUGCCGUGCCUGGGUGACUUGCCAACCCUAGAGUCACAGGGUGGGGUCAGUCUCACAGGCGCAACAUGCACAGAAUGGAAAUUUCCCAAAGAAAAAUGUUAAGUGCUCCUAGCAGAAUAAAGAAGUGAAUUCUGGCAGCAGCGAGCCCAGUCCACAUAACUGAUGUCUGAACUGCCCUCUGCUGCUCUGUGCUCCAGGCCCACUGUCAGUCUUUCUGGGACAGUGAAGGCUGUACCUCAACAGGUCUGAUGAACAGCUAGUAAGCAGUGAGCUGAGCUUCAAAUCAAG